UACAGAUGUUGUUCUGUAAAAGGGUUGGAUCCGACGCCCCUAGAAGGCUACUAUAGGCUCUCCUUCUCAACUCCUACUCAAUACGUCCACGACGUGCAGAACGGUAGCUUGUCGCCUGGAUCCAAGCUUGGGUACAAGGGGAAACCCAACCCCUUGGGCGGAUGGGCGGCAAGGCUGAAUUGAGAGGU
rfam:Anopheles epiroticus strain epiroticus2 unplaced genomic scaffold supercont1.1095, whole genome shotgun sequence.